ACAUAUCAUUGAAAUUAGAUAGGUUUGUGUCACUAGACCAAUUCAAGGGUAUGAUUGAUGAUAUGGCUGUUGCACAAUGUUCUUGCUUUGACUGAUAUUUUAGACCUUUUAUAUCAUUAUUAUUAUUUAUACA